CACAGCCUAACAUGUCCGUGUGAAGUGCGCUGAUAACUACUUUCAUUAAAAGUUGAUCACUUAUUUCUGGUGAAAAGAAGGCUACUUACAAUUUGGACUCAAAUCAAUUUAUUAACAUCUUACUAUCACUUUCAAUUGAAGAUUUGAUGAUUACAACCUUUUGUUAAUGACUUUAUUAAUGUUAAUGGCAUUGUUACUAGAUUACCAACAUGUUUAACUGCUUUAUUACCCAGGUGUAUGGGUAUACACCUGCCAAAGGGAUUUUCACAGCCAACCGACUCAAAUUAGCUCGAUUAGAUCGAUAGAGCAAUACUAAAUGAUGUAUUAAUCAUUAGUUAUCACUUAGCAACCCAUGAAGGAUGCCCAAUUAGAAAGUGGCAUCAAAAUGGUAAAAGCAGAAGCCUACUGCUACUACUGCUAAUGCUUUGCAAGUGGUAAUGGUUAUUUAAAAUUUCCGAUAUAUGUGUUAAUUUUUGACAUUGCUAUAGAUUGCUAAUGACAUUGCUAAUGAUCUUUGGAGAAAUGAGCCACAUGACUGCACCUUUAAGCACUUCACAUGUGCACCAAGUAGUACCGUCUCUCUGGCCUCUGAGUGCCACCUAGUGUCUUUCAGAGAAAAUUUCAGUUGGACCAGAACUUUAUCCUGAAAUAAAGGACAUUACAAACAGAUGUGCAUGUGCAAACAUAUGUGCAUACACUGUAAAUGAUUUUUGUUGUUUUCACAGUAGUAUUACUGUAUUUCCAAUAGUUUCUUACUGUAUAAGUGGUGUACAGUAUGUUACUGUACAUCAUGUUGUUUUCACAGUAUUAUUACCGUAAUUUCAACAGUUUCCUACUGUAAAAGUGGUGUACAGUAUGUUACUGUAGAUUUUCAAUGCAUUCAUACUAACUGACAGCGAAAACAACCACCAACCUCCAUUUUGAAAUGAAAGACUGUCUUGGAUUUGACUCAACAAUAUUUAGUUUAACAUCAGAUAUCAUGAAACUGUUCUUGAAACUUUCUGAUUAGACUCUUCCGGACUGGAUGCGUUAAGCUGGCGCUUAUGUUUUGUGUGAUGUUUUACACAGACUCUUCGGUUGUAGCUCUCAGUGCGGGGAGUGCAGCUGUAUGAGAGCGCAAUUUCUAGAGCCUGUACUCGGGGAUCGUCUGUCUGUCUGCUGACCUGGAAGCUGCUUCAUCAUUAAUAUCUGGCGGGAGCUGAGCGAUAUUGUGGGACCAAGACCAUCUUCAGAUUCCAACCUGUAAAACUGACAAUCACAACUGCUGUCACCACUGCCACUGCCCACUGCACUCGACCCUCACCUGUCUAACUUCACCAACAUUACUUCUCCAAUGCUGACAUCCCCACCCAGAACACCUACAGUGAGAAAUUGUUUUGUGAAGAUUCUUUUGUGUAUUGCAAUGUGUCUUGACAGGAUAACUGUAGCUUGGUUGAAUGUUCAGCUAAUUUUCUGGAUUUUUGAUUAGUUGUUACUUGUUAUUUAUUCUGAUGAUUUUUAUGGAGAAUGUCAUGUUUAGCAUGUGGGCAAGAUGGUUGAUGACCCAUAUGUUUUACUAGUUGGAUGGAAAAACAUCCGUUUCAGUAUUUUCUUGUCUUCAACCUGGCUUUUCUAGUCUCUAUGGCUAGUUAUAGGGAAAUAUUUUCACAACAGAUCUCUUUAUAUAUGUGUGUGUUAUUAUGACUGGUUUGUUCUACUUGUGCAAUAAACGAUCUGCUUUUUGUGCAGUUAAGUCUUCAAA